rnacentral:rRNA from 1 species
AACGAACGCUGGCGGCAGGCUUAACACAUGCAAGUCGAACGAUCCCUUCGGGGAUAGUGGCAGACGGGUGAGUAACACGUGGGAACGUACCUUUCAGUCAGGAAUAACUCAGGGAAACUUGAGCUAAUACCCGAUACGCCCCUUGGGGGAAAGAUUUAUCGCUGAAAGAUCGGCCCGCGUCUGAUUAGCUUGUUGGUGGGGUAAUGGCCUACCAAGGCGACGAUCAGUAGCUGGUCUGAGAGGAUGAUCAGCCACACUGGGACUGAGACACGGCCCAGACUCCUACGGGAGGCAGCAGUGGGGAAUAUUGGACAAUGGGCGCAAGCCUGAUCCAGCCAUGCCGCGUGAGUGAUGACGGCCCUAGGGUUGUAAAGCUCUUUCGACGGGGACGAUAAUGACGGUACCCGUAGAAGAAGCCCCGGCUAACUUCGUGCCAGCCGCCGCCGUAAAAC